ACCGCAUUCAAACUUCAUCUCCUCACAUUUGACACCUGGUGUUAUACAAAAACAAAGGUGUGGGGAAUAUCUGCAUCACGGCACGCUACGGCUGCUAUGUAGGUGCCAGUUCAGCCAUUGUUAUUCUCUGCGGCGGCCCGCUCUGUGGUGCGGUGUGAGGCACUCCCAUCAAUUUUUACAUGAAAGAUUUCCUGCAGUGAAAGAGAAACGUUGGGACACCUCUUGUGACGUUCACUGAGCUGCAUAGCGGAGGAGCAAGUAUGUGCGCUUGCUGUUCCUCGUAACUGGAAUUGCUGACUUGACGCUUGAAAAUAACCACAUUACAGAGCACCAGCUGCACUUCAGCUUUCUGAGCUUCAUGGCAAUGUCUGAAGGGGGGGAAAAAAGAGAAGAUAAAUAAGCUGCGUCUAUUCUUGCCCGAAUGCAGUCUGGAUUUGAAGGACAUGAAUAAUAAAAAUCUGCUCAUGCGUCCGCCACACACUGUUGCACCGUCACAAGCGCAGGCAUCAAAUGGCACCGGUGGACUGGCUCGACGCCACGCUGCCGGAGAGGACACGCCUUAUCCUCCAGCAUGUUCCUCCGUGAGGCCCGGCCUCGCUGAGCUCCAACCGCCUUCAGCCCUCCACGCUCUGCCAUUCAGGAUCAGGACGUUCCCCUUUUCUCCAUUCACCGAGUGCGCUCAGCGUUCUUCAGUCCUGCUCUCUCAUUGGUCCGUUCAUCGGAUGAAAGGAGAGAAGAAGGGAUUUGAGUUUCUGUCAUGACUUGUCUCUGUAUUAAAAAAAAAACAACAACAAAAAAACAGGAAGAGCAGGUGAGAUAAAGACAGGUGAUUUUCUCCUGAAACCCACGUGCUGUUGCGUAAAGAGCGACUCUUCAGUGGAGAAGAAGCAAAGAAAUAUUAACCAUUUGAGCGAUGUUUUUCAAACAGUGUGUUAUUGAUUCUGAUCGUGAUUUUUCAUUUUUAUUUUUUUUUUAUGUCAUAAACUGAAAUUUCGGGGUCUUGUGCUCAUUUUGUUGUCAGACUCUUUUCUAAAAUGUAAUAGUGGAAAUUUUACAGCGUCACUGUUUCCAAUGAGGUCACAAAAACAAACCAGAUGUGAGCAACAAAAAAAUCGCAUAUGAAAGGACAACGGAUGUAUUUUUCUUCGUAUUUUUCAUCAAUAUUGUUAAAACAUAAUCAAUAGACUAGACCACAUGUCUCAAACUCAAGGCCUGAGGGCCAAAUCUGGUCCACCAUAGCUUUUUGUGUGGCCAUCCAGGCUCCAGAUGGCCGCAUAAAGUUGUUGUGUGUUUAAACGUUUUAUCAAUCUAAUCAGUGGAGUUUUUACCACUUAAAAUGAUCAGUUUCUCUAGUUCAUAUUCAUUUAGAAACAACAUCAGGCUGAAUUGUGUUAAAACCUUACAUUUAGACCUGGCAGAAUGAGAAAAUGAAAAUGUACUUGAGUUAAAAGGUUCAGAGUUUUUUUUUUUCUUUAAGCACUGCUGCUGGCUGCCUUUUAGGUUUCUGAACCAGAAGAUUGCCUGCCCUUUUCUUGCCCUGACCCAAAUUUCACUUGCAUAAGAACCAAUAAACUCAUCUACGCAAA